rnacentral:rRNA from 1 species
UACAGAGGGUGCGAGCGUUAAUCGGAAUUACCGGGCGUAAAGCGUGCGUAGACGGUUGCGUAAGUCGGAUGUGAAAUCCCCGGGCUCAACCUGGGAAUUGCAUUCGAGACUGCGUAGCUGGGGUGCGGAAGAGGGAAGCGGAAUUUCCGGUGUAGCGGUGAAAUGCGUAGAUAUCGGAAGGAACAUCAGUGGCGAAAGCGGCUUCCUGGUCCAGCACCGACGUUCAGGCACGAAAGCGUGGGGAGCAAACAGG